GAUGAACGCUGGCGGCGUGCCUAACACAUGCAAGUCGAACGGAGUCGUUUUGGCAAUCUCUUCGGAGAUGGAAUUCUCGACUUAGUGGCGGACGGGUGAGUAACGCGUGAGCAAUCUGCCUUUAAGAGGGGGAUAACAGUCGGAAACGGCUGCUAAUACCGCAUAAAGCAUUAAAUUCGCAUGUUUUUGAUGCCAAAGGAGCAAUCCGCUUUUAGAUGAGCUCGCGUCUGAUUAGCUAGUUGGCGGGGUAACGGCCCACCAAGGCGACGAUCAGUAGCCGGACUGAGAGGUUGAACGGCCACAUUGGGACUGAGACACGGCCCAGACUCCUACGGGAGGCAGCAGUGGGGAAUAUUGCGCAAUGGGGGAAACCCUGACGCAGCAACGCCGCGUGAUUGAAGAAGGCCUUCGGGUUGUAAAGAUCUUUAAUCAGGGACGAAACAAAUGACGGUACCUGUAGAAUAAGCUCCGGCUAACUACGUG
rnacentral:rRNA from 1 species